AAGUCGUAACAAGGUCUCCGUAGGUGAACCUGCGGAGGGAUCAUUAACACUAUCAAACAAAGUAGAUUGAUGGCUGCAAAGUCAACUUUCUCACUUUUGUUAUGCCAACUCGUGAACGAAACAUUAUGUAUCUCUUGCUUAGCUUUGUAAUAUAAGCUAAGUUAUGUUUUUAUUGUAUUUUCUUUAUACAAACUAAUAUCUUCAACAGUAUAACUUGUACCACAUAGAAUGCAUUCUUAGAGUGUAUUUUUAUGGUGUGUUACUUUUAGUUAACAAAAUAAGCACAACUCUUAGCAACGGAUAUCUCGGUUCUC
rnacentral:misc_RNA from 1 species